rnacentral:rRNA from 1 species
AGCAGGGGGCAUCUACCAUGCAAGUCGACGAUGAAGCCUAGCUUGCUGGGUGGAUUAGUGGCGAACGGGUGAGUAACACGUGAGUAACCUGCCCUUGACUCUGGGAUAAGCCUGGGAAACUGGGUCUAAUACCGGAUACGACCAUUGCCCGCAUGGGUUGGUGGUGGAAAGCUUUUGUGGUUUUGGAUGGACUCGCGGCCUAUCAGCUUGUUGGUGAGGUAAUGGCUCACCAAGGCGACGACGGGUAGCCGGCCUGAGAGGGUGACCGGCCACACUGGGACUGAGACACGGCCCAGACUCCUACGGGAGGCAGCAGUGGGGAAUAUUGCACAAUGGGCGAAAGCCUGAUGCAGCGACGCCGCGUGAGGGAUGACGGCCUUCGGGUUGUAAACCUCUUUCAGUAGGGAAGAAGCGAAAGUGACGGUACCUGCAGAAGAAGCGCCGGCUAACUACGUGCCAGCAGCCGCGGUAAUACGUAGGGCGCAAGCGUUAUCCGGAAUUAUUGGGCGUAAAGAGCUCGUAGGCGGUUUGUCGCGUCUGCUGUGAAAGGCCAGGGCUCAACCCUGGUUCUGCAUUGGGUACGGGCAGACUUGAGUGAUGUAGGGGAGACUGGAAUUCCUGGUGUAGCGGUGAAAUGCGCAGAUAUCAAGAGGAACACCGAUGGCGAAGGCAGGUCUCUGGGCAUUAACUGACGCUGAGGAGCGAAAGCAUGGGGAGCGAACAGGAUUAGAUACCCUGGUAGUCCAUGCCGUAAACGUUGUGCACUAGGUGUGGGGGACAUUCCACGUUUUCCGCGCCGUAGCUAACGCAUUACGUGCCUCGCCUGGAGAGUACGGCCGCUAGGCUAAAACUCAAAUGAAUUGACGGCGGGCCCGCACAAGCAGCAGAGCAUGCAGGAUUAAUUCGAUGCAACGCGAAGAACCUUAGCUAGGCUUGACAUGCACUGGAUCGCAUCAGAGAUGGUCGUUUCCCUUCUGGGCUGGGUUCACAGGUGGUGCAUGCUUGUCGUCAGCUCGUGUCGUGAGAUGUGUUUUA